GGAGGGGGGGGUGGGGGGGCACAUAUAUGGUUGCCUGAUGAAUCAUUACCCACUAAGGCCACUGAGGUUUUGUGAUAAGACUUCUGCCUGAGACAAAAUCAAUCCGAUGGGGUUAUCAGUUUGUAUUCCCACCAGGUUAUCAGUUUGUAUUCCCACCAGGUUAUCAGUUUGUAUUCAGUUUGUAUUCCCACCAGGUUAUCAGUUUGUAUUCCCACCAGGUUAUCAGUUUGUAUUCCCACCAGGUUAUCAGUUUGUAUUCCCACCAGGUUAUCAGUUUGUAUUCAGUUUGUAUUCCCACCAGGUUAUCAGUUUGUAUUCCCACCAGGUUAUCAGUUUGUAUUCCCACCAGGUUAUCAGUUUGUAUUCCCACCAGGUUAUCAGUUUGUAUUCCCACCAGGUUAUCAGUUUGUAUUCCCACCAGGUUAUCAGUUUGUAUUCCCACCAGGUUAUCAGUUUGUAUUCCCACCAGGUUAUCAGUUUGUAUUCCCACCAGGUUAUCGCUAGAUAAACACCAAGACAAUAUAAAGACGUGAACGGUGUCACUUCUUCAGUCUCUUACAAAACUCAAAUAUCUCACGGGAUUUUAUUUAUGCGCUUUUACGGAAUUCCAAUAGUAAUAAAUCAUUUGAAUAGCUGAGAAGAGUGGACAGUCUACAACACUGUGAUAUCAGGGUUAUUUUACCAUCUUGUGAUAGUUGGGUCGUUCCACCGAUUCAGUGACUUCUGAGAAGUGUCAUUUGGUAAAAAAAACAAAAAACUUUGAUUUCAACAAAUGUUUACAUUCUGUCAUAAAGAGCAUAUGUUCAACUUAAUAAAAAACAAACAUGUUUUACCAUCUCAA